UACGGGGGGGGCAAGCGUUGUUCGGAAUUACUGGGCGUAAAGGGCUUGUAGGUGGCCAACUAAGUCAGACGUGAAAUCCCACGGCUUAACCGAGGAACUGCGUCUGAUACUGGAUGGCUUGAGUGUGGGAGAGGGAUGCGGAAUUCCAGGUGUAGCGGUGAAAUGCGUAGAUAUCUGGAGGAACACCGGUGGCGAAGGCGGCAUCCUGGACCAUGACUGACGCUGAGACGCGAAAGCGUGGGGAGCAAACAGG
rnacentral:rRNA from 1 species